UCCUUGUUAGUACAAUGGCUAGUAUAGGGCACUCUCAAAAGCCGGUUGAUCCUUCGCAAGAUCAACGCGCACUGCUCAGAUCGGGGUUCAAUUCCCCGGCAGGGAA